rnacentral:rRNA from 1 species
UCCGUAGGUGGAUAAUUAAGUCAGAGGUGAAAUCCUGCAGCUCAACUGUAGAAUUGCCUUUGAUACUGGUUAUCUUGAAUUAUUGUGAAGUGGUUAGAAUAUGUAGUGUAGCGGUGAAAUGCAUAGAUAUUACACAGAAUACCGAUUGCGAAGGCAGAUCACUAAUAAUGUACUGACACUGAGGGACGAAAGCGUGGGGAGCGAACAGGAUUAGAUACCCUGGUAGUCC